ensembl:misc_RNA Metazoa_SRP Metazoan signal recognition particle RNA
GUGGGGUGCAGUGGCAGGCCUGUAGUUCCAGCUACUUGGGAGGCGGGGACAGGGAAUAGGAGGAUAGCUUGCAUGUAGGGGUUCUGGGAUGUAGUGCACUAUGGUCACUGGGUGUCCACACUGAGUUUGGCAUCAUUAUGGUGACCUCCCAGUAGUAGGGGACCACCUGGUUGCCUAAGGAGGAGUGAACUGGCCCAGGUCAGAAACAAGAGCAGGUCAAAACUCUCAUGCUGAUCAGUAGUGGGACUGCACCUGUGAAUAGCCACGGCACUCACAGUCAACAUAGUCAGAACCUGUCUCC